GCUUAACCCUAUGCGAGGAGAAAGUAAAUAGCCGCCGCCAAGUACAAGUCGUCUUCAAGGUGAAGGUACAUAUAUAUAGUGUACUGGAAAUUAAUUAAACAGUUGUGAUGGGAAAAAAUGAUGAUUCUUAUUUUAGUCUGCUACCAUAUGAAGUUGUUCUUGUGAUAUUCAAUAAAAUACUUGAUUUAAAAACCUUAUGUCUUUGCAAACCCGUUUCUACAAAAUUCAAUUUGAUAGUUAAUCAAGUCAACAACAUUCGUUUUGUUGCGUCUCGUGUAAACAGUAAAAUUUUAUUUAAUCCUAGUUUCUACGGUUUUUACGAAGAAGAAUAUUUUUGGGAAUAUCCUGAAAGGGCUUUGUUAUGCCUUAUUAUCUUGAUUCUAGUUGGGAACCUUGUCCUCCCUCCACUUUUGAAUCCGAGUCUUUCCGGUCUGCAAUUCGGUCUAUGGAUAUGUUUACUAGACUCAAGUCUCUAUAUAUCGACCUCCCGUUUACAGGCCAAGAUGGUAUUUGCACCAUCAACCGUAGUAGUAUUCCUGAUUUUUACAAGUGGAAGAUUAAGUUUGGUGAGACCCUCGAAUCGUUAGUAUUUGUGAAUAUGUAAGUAGUGGCGACGUGCAGGAAGAGGAAGAGGAAGACCAACUACGUGGCACAGUUGCUUUGGGUUAUACUCGUAAAAUUGAAUUUGCUAAUCGUCAAUGUUUGAUGGAUGCGGCUGUGAGGUUUAGGAUGUUGUUGGGUUGCACGCUUGAUUUCCCAUUGUUGGAAAAGGUAUCGAUUACAGAAUCGGGUAAUAGGGGGGGGCGUUUCUAUUAAUGAUAGAAACAAGAUCGUUGAGAUAAGGGAGUGGCUACUUUCACCCCCUGAUAGUGUGGAAUAUAAGCUGAAGACUCUUAGCAAGGAGCUUCCUACUAAAUUAAGCGUGUGUUACGUCCCUUUGUUGAAACUGCCAGUUUCAGGAUACCUGAUGAAGAGGGUGUCUCUUGUUACGAUUCAGCGGACUAUGGAGUUCCUAGAUGGAGAUGAUAGUUUUUAUAUGACUCCUAUUAAUUUGGAUGAUUUUGCAGAUAAACAAGAGGCUGCAUAUGCUGAAUCCGUGGUCGAGAUGUUGAAGAUGUGCCGUAGGGGCCUGCCGCUUCAACCAUGGUGACCUUAACAAAUUAUAACCCUCCUUCACCUUGAAGGGAACAUCAUAUUUGAACUUAUUGUACGAGUCUUUGUGUGUUGUGACCAUUGAUGAUGUGAUAUUAAUGUUUGUGAUGUUUUCCUUGCCUAA